rnacentral:pre_miRNA from 1 species
CGAGUAUAUUUUGGUCACAUGGUUACCUACAUGUGACCUUUGUAUACCCGUC